UUGUUAUCCCAUGUCUAUUUAAGUUAUUUGUGCCCUUGACUCACGUGCUGGUUCCUUGUGUUUGUUUCCUACACCGUAUGUACCUGCCUGUAUUUUGUUUGACCUGUCCUUGUGCUCUGCCUGCCCGUGUUCUGCCCUGCCCGUGUUUAGGCCCAUUGUGUCUAGGUGCCAGCGGACUCGCACAGGAACAUGGGAAGUCCGUGAUGACCAUAUCUGCAGCUGUGAAUGACUAAAAUAAAUUCCUGGAUGGCGUUGAGUUAUCAGAUCAGUGGAUCCAAAGCUACAGUGCAAGGACGAAGACCUACAAAUGGUACAAGACCUUUUUUCAUUUCUUGGACAUUGCUGUGGUGAACUCAUCCCUGCUGUUCAGAGGACAGCAAGACAAGAGGCACAAAAGGACCCAGACAUUUACAGUACUGGAUGAAAACUCAUCACAGAACUGCAUGGUAUCACGGAAUCCAGAUGUCAGCCUGGUCAACUGCAGACCAAUCACAUCCCAUCAAUAACGGGAGGAGGAGGGAAGCGCAACCAAAAACGCUACAUGGGAAUGUGGUACAUAGGGGUACCCCACAGGGCACAACAAAGCGAGGGCAUGUUUUGCAAUAUGGCACAUAAUUUGGCAAUCUUACUGUGAAGCUUUGAACUUUUUUGUUGCAAUAUCAAGUUUCAUUCAGUGUUGUAACAAUUAUUCAAUUAUUUUUACAGGUUAAAUAUAUUAUAGUAUUUUUAUUUAUGGUAUGUAGUCCUUGGAUGUUGGUUAUAUUAAAAAAAAAAAAAAUUUUGUAUUUCAAGUCUGCUUUUGGAAUGGCAUAACCUGGAGAUAAGAGCAGGAAUUGGGGGGAGGGGGUGACCACUGGAGGUGUGAAUACGUGUGCCUGUGUGUGUUGGUCUGCAUGUGUCUCUACAUAAAAUGUGUCUAAGUUAGCAGUCAGUUUUGGUCAACCUGAGAAGUUUGUAACAGUUAGUUGUUAGUGGGCAUCUGAGUCCUGCAUCUAGGUGUGGCGUUCUACAUUUCAUCUCUGUUCUGUUGGAAUAUUCUGCAGUCUUUUGGUUUUUGGGUUUUGGAUUACUUUGGGACAAAAAACAAAA